ACUCCAUCAAUGAAGACUAGAUUUGAGUAAAAUUUCUUGACAAGAUCAAUAUAAAUGGGCUCGGAUAAAUUGUAGAAAAAUCUUCAUCCUUGUCUAAUCAAUUUCUCGCCAAUAGAAAAUCCAUCAUUUCUCAAGAAACAAAAAUCAAUAUCCCUUUCCAGGGCUACUUUUCUUGCAGACAAAGGGAUUUUACUUGGGG
rnacentral:lncRNA from 1 species